GGAUUGUAGGCUGAAACUCGCCUACAUGAAGCUGGAAUUGCUAGUAAUCACAGGUCAGCAUACUGUGGUGAAUACGUUCCCGGGCCUUGUACACACCGCCCGUCACACCAUGAGAGUUGAGAAUACCCGAAGCCCAUGUCAAAGUGGUCGAAGGUAGGCUUGAUGAUUGGGGUGAAGUCGUAACAAGGUAGC
rnacentral:rRNA from 1 species